AUUUGGUCCCCAAAUUUAACUCACCUUAAUAGAAUAGAUGAGGAUACUGCUCUCGCAUAUCUUCUUCUCUUUCCCAUGUUGCCUCUCGGUCUGAAUGGUGUUGCCAACAAAUCUUUACCAAAGGUAUAAUUUUGUUCCUUAGAAUAUGUUCUUUCCUUUCCAAGAUCUGGGUUGGUUGUUCUCCAAAAGUAGCAUCAUCUCUUAGUUGUAGAGGUUGAUAAGAUAUGA
rnacentral:lncRNA from 1 species